UAGGUGCAAUCGCCAGCAUAGAUUAUACACUAAAUAUAUUUCGCCAGUGCAUUGACAACAAAAAUAAAAAUAUAUAACUAAAACUUGAUUACAUAUAAUUACUUACGAUUAAUUUAUAUUUACUUGGGAAAUUAUCCGCGAGAUUUUUCCUGUAAGUUGUGAGAUAAUUAGAAAAAACAUCUAUUUCAUCACUUAAAGUCAGUUCAGCGCAAUCGGAUAACUCCGAAUGAACAUUGACGGAGACCGCGCUACCGUGCACAUUUUUGUAGUCCCAAACGAACAGAUUCGAACGAGCGGGCUUUCUUAUAAGCGGUUUAUAUUUCUUCGUUCUUAGGCACUGCUUCGCAGAAUCUAUCACCGGAUCGGAAACGCGACCCACUGAGAAGAUCCGGCGAGAAACUCAUUGGGCUGUGUCUAUGGGUUAAUUUACUCGUCGACCCCUUCGUCGCAAGCAACGGAUUCGGCGAGGACGGUGACCGGUGGUUGAGGUUUGAAGAUCUCGUUACGCUUUGGGAAUACCGUGAAGUACGCGAGGAAUAGCAUAAUGAAAAAUUAAACAACACUUCCAGGUAGGUAGUAGGGAUGAACUGCUCCAGUGGCGGAAUCUACUAUUGUUAAAAAUUAUAUAACUGUUUGAAAAAGAUUCGAUACAUAUUAUAUGGUUGUUCCAAUUUUAUUAUAAUUCGAAUACGAAAUAAAAAAAAACCUUUGGAAUAAAUUAGGUAUUUAAUUGUUUAUUUAUUUACAGAAAACAUUAAACCAAAUGUACAUUUAGUUUUGGUAAUUUUCCAUGAAUACAGGCAAAUCGUAAAUGUUGUUUACAUACAAGACUGCCACGCUAUUUGUAUUUAGUACUAGAAGGAAACAAGAUAUUUCUUCACACGUUAUGCAAACAUUUUUAGCUUUUAUUUCUAAUAUAUUUAAGCAUAAACUGGUGAGUGCAAAUACCUACUUUAUUCAAUAAAUUGUAUUACAAACAUCUUAAAAUUAUGCAUCAUACACAUUCUACUUUGCAAACUACCAUUUUUCAAAGAGAUCAUACUAUUAUGGUUGUACAAGCAUUUCAUCUAAAUGCGUAAACUAAUAAUAUUUCUUUAACUUCUUAUUCUGAUAUUGAUACAAAUUUGAAAUUAGACGAAUAUUCGGAAUUAUCAUUGUUAUUAUUUUUAAAACCCCAAGUUGUAAUAUUAUCUACAAAUAUUUAUCACAAUACAAGAAUUUAGAUACUGUUGUAUUAUUUUAGUAGUUCGGUGAAUUGUGAUUGAUAAUCUUAAGAUAAGAGCAUGUUAGAUAUAAUAGCUAUUUCGAAUUAGUUUUAUAAUCUCUUUGAACACGGCAUAUGGAUUUAUAUGAUAUUAAGCAAAUCUAAUGUUCGUUAAGAAACAAUCUAUUACAUAUUUUAUAGCUAACAUCAUUGCCGUAACGUAAGCAUAUUUUAAGAUACAUCUAUAUAUACUGCGGGAAAGCAGCAAGGCCUACGUCUAAUACAAUAUUAGCGAUAAUGCUGGCUAGCUCUCAAGAGUAAUACACAGGGCAUUCAUAUUUUACUCAUGCACUAGCCGUAACGGCAAAGCAGAAUAUAAAAUUACACCAUACAUACUUUAUUAGAACUACGUAAUCGAUUAUUUUACCAGGCAACACAAAUAAUUCAAUAAAUAACUUAUAUAUUGAACUAAAUAGGCAUUCGUUUAUAUGAAUCUAGCUACCGCGAAUAUGAAGUUGAAAGUAAAAAUAUUAAUCGUAUAAUCACACAUUUUAAUUUAAAUUAAUUUACUGUAUGAUAAAUUGAUAAUGACGUAAAAUGUAAAGACAAACUUGAAAAACACACAAAUAGCAAUUCAAUGCACCUAAAACAGCAAUUUUCGUUUGAGACGUUAAAGUUAAAAAAAACCUCACUAUAAAUAAAUAAUUAUUAAUAAUAAUAAAAAAAAAAACAUCAAAAUAUAA